CGGGUCGGCCGGGCCAUCGCGGCGCCGCAAGGCCCCGCCAGCACCAGGGUGUGCGGCGGAUAACUGCGACGUCGAGGAACGUCCGGACACCACAGGGCAGGAUGGUGGGUAACGCCCACUCGGGGAGACCCGCAGGCCAGUGCCACAGAGAACAGACCGCCCGCUGAGCCGCCUGAGGCGUGCGAUGCGGGCAAGGGUGAAACGGCGGUGUAAGAGACCACCAGCGCGGCAGGUGACUGCCGCGGCUCGGCAAACCCCAUCCGGUGCAAGGUCGAACAGGAUGCGUCAUCAGGGCGGCCCGCCCGAGCAUCCGGGUUGAUCGCUCGAGGCCCGUGGCGACACGGUGCCCAGAUGGAUGAUGGCCGCCGCACCAUGGUGCGGCACAGAAUCCGGCGUACAGGCCGGCCCGUCCC
rfam:Nesterenkonia sp. PF2B19 NODE_1_length_140499_cov_35.0515, whole genome shotgun sequence.